rfam:Rattus norvegicus chromosome 1, whole genome shotgun sequence.
GGGGAUUUAGCUCAGUGGUAGAGCGCUUGCCUAGCAAGUGCAAGGCCCUGGGUUCGGUUCUCAGCUCCG